AGAGUUUGAUCCUGGCUCAGAACGAACGUUAGCGGCGCGCUUAACACAUGCAAGUCGAGCGAGAAAGGGCUUCGGCCCCGGUAAAGCGGCGCACGGGUGAGUAACACGUAGGUAAUCUGCCUCUUGGCGGUGGAUAACCCUUCGAAAGGAGGGCUAAUACAGCAUAAGACCACGCGCUCGAAAGAGCGUGGGGUAAAAGCCGGCCUCUUCAAGAAAGCUGGCACCGAGAGAUGAGCCUGCGGCCCAUCAGGUAGUUGGUAGGGUAACGGCCUACCAAGCCGAAGACGGGUAGCUGGUCUGAGAGGAUGAUCAGCCACACUGGAACUGAGACACGGUCCAGACUCCUACGGGAGGCAGCAGUGGGGAAUCUUGCGCAAUGGGCGAAAGCCUGACGCAGCGACGCCGCGUGAGUGAUGAAGGCCUUCGGGUUGUAAAGCUCUGUGGAGGGGGACGAAUAAGGGCCGUCGAAUAGGCGUCCCGAUGACGGUACCCCUUUAGCAAGCACCGGCUAACUCUGUGCCAGCAGCCGCGGUAAGACAGAGGGUGCAAACGUUGUUCGGAAUUACUGGGCGUAAAGCGCGUGUAGGCGGCUCGGCAAGUCGGGUGUGAAAGCCCUGGGCUUAACCUAGGAAGUGCACUCGAAACUGCCAAGCUUGAGUUCUGGAGAGGAAGGCGGAAUUCUCGGUGUAGAGGUGAAAUUCGUAGAUAUCGAGAGGAACACCGGUGGCGAAGGCGGCCUUCUGGACAGCAACUGACGCUGAGACGCGAAAGCGUGGGGAGCAAACAGGAUUAGAUACCCUAGUAGUCC
rnacentral:rRNA from 1 species